AUGGCGGUCUCUCUCCUGCUGCGGGGAGGACGAAUCCGGGCGCUGAAGGCUGCCCUUCUCGAGGCAAAGGUGUUCCGAGGAGAACUGGCUUCUACAGUGCCCCUGUCUACAGAGUCCGAGAAUAAUAAAAAGGCGGCAGGACCAACUAGCAAGACGGAAAGUGUGUUCAAAGGUGAGAUUUUUAAAGAUGGUCUCAAGGGCAAAAAAAUGCAAAGUCAAUAGCCUGAAAUGAGUUGGACCAGCGACAUAACCUAAGACUCCAAUUCAUAAUUAGAUGGGAGAUUGGACCUCAUCGGUGGUGGCAAAGGCUUUGGUUUGACUCUCUGUUAGCUCUAGAUGUGGGAGUAGUGCUUUUUAAAUGGCCAACCCAACAGGGAGAGCAGAAGGGCUCUGGCAUUUCCAAGCCCUCAGGAACACAUGAAAUAGCAUGAAAUAGUGAGACCCCCCCCCUCCCCCUACUUUCCCUUCCCUGGUUUCUAGUUUUCCCUGACUUCCCAAGAGUCUGGUGAGGCUUUCCUGGGGGGGGGGGGGGGGGCAUCAUGACCUCGGGGAAGGAAUUAGGAGCCUGAAUUUCUGCUGUGCUCUACUCAGCUGGGGCCCAGUUGGUGUUCAGCUCUCUUCAAAGUCAUUUUGACUUCUGUCACAUUUUACCCUCUCUGAGUGCCAGCGUAGGCAAGCUGAAAACGCUGUAUAUUUUAAAUGCUUCUCCCCCGGGGAUAAUUUUA
rnacentral:lncRNA from 1 species